rnacentral:rRNA from 1 species
GUGCAGCAGUCGCGAAACCUCCGCAAUGCUCGAAAGAGCGACGGGGGACUCCAAGUGCCUACGCUUUGCGUAGGCUUUUCCCAAGCCUAAAAGCUUGGGGAAUAAGGGCUGGGUAAGACGGGUGCCAGCCGCCGCGGUAAUACCCGCAGCCCGAGUGGUGGCCGCUUUUAUUGGGCCUAAAGCGUCCGUAGCCGGUCUGGUAAAUGCCUGGGUAAAUCGUCUGGCUCAACCAGACGAAUUCCGGGUAGACUGCCAGACUAGGGACCGGAGGAAGGAGAGGGUACUCCGGGGGUAGGGGUGAAAUCCUGUAAUCCUCGGAGGACCACCGGUGGCGAAGGCGCUCUCCUAGGACGGGUCCGACGGUGAGGGACGAAAGCCAGGGGAGCAAACCGGAUUAGAUACCCCGGUAGU